AAAUCAUCAUAUAAGCCAUCAUAAAUACUGUUUGGCCGCCAUUGUGUCUUUGACCACGCUCACCUAGCGCUCACUGAUUAUAAAUUAUUUGUUUUUGUGUAUUUUACGCUAAAUUUGACGUGAUUUUGUGCGUGAUGUCCGAUGACGUUGACUGAGAUAUCCCACAGCUGUUGCAGCAGUGGGGUUUACCUCAGUAUAUUGAUACGUUUCAAAAUUAUGAAAAUUACGAGGAAAUGGAGUCAAUAUAAUAAUGGUUUCUGGGAAACAUGCAGGACGAAAAAACAAUUAUGGCGACCAUCCAAAGCUAAGAAAAAAGGACACAUAUCAACACACAUAAAAUAAAUGUCAUUUUUCUAUGUA